ACCCAAGCUACUAAGGGCCAACGGUGGAUGCCUUGGCGCCUACUACCGAUGAAGGACGUGACUGGCUGCGAUAAGCCCCGGCGAGCUGUCGAGUGAGUGUCGACCCGGGGAUGUCCGAAUGGGGAAACCUGGCACCAUUAAUCUGGUGUCACUCCGGUCUGAAUACAUAGGGCCGGUAGAGGGAACCGGGUGAAGUGAAACAUCUCAGUAACCCGAGGAAAAGAAAGCAAUAGCGACUCCCUGAGUAGCGGCGAGCGAAAUGGGAAGAGCCUAAACCGUACUGGUGUAAUAGCCCGGUGGCGUUGCCAGUGCGGGGUUGUGGGACUCGAUCGUCGGAACACCGGUUCCGGCACGGAGUUACAAAGCUGACGGCUAGCGGAAGUGUACUGGAAAGGCACGCCAUAGAAGGUAAGAGCCCUGUACGCGAAAGCUGAUCAGCCUCCGUUCGAGUAUCCCGAGUAGCGCCGUACCCGAGAAAUCCGGCGUGAAUCUGCGAGGACCACCUCGUAAGGCUAAGUAUACGUAGGCGACCGAUAGUGAACUAGUACCGUGAGGGAAAGGUGAAAAGUACCCCGGGAGGGGAGUGAAAUAGUACCUGAAACCGCUGGUCUACAAGCAGUCAAAGCGUCGUUCUGAGGUUUGCCUCAGAGCCGCGAUGGCGUGCCUUUUGAAGAAUGAGCCAACGAGUUACGGUAUGUGGCAAGGUUAACCCGAAGAGGGGGAGCCGGAGCGAAAGCGAGUCUGAAUAGGGCGUACAGUCGCAUGCCGUAGACCCGAAGCCGGGUGAUCUAUCCAUGGGCAGUGUGAAGCGGGGGUAAGACUCCGUGGAGGCGCGAACCGACCUAGGAUGAAAACUGGGCGGAUGACCUGUGGAUAGGGGUGAAAGGCCAAUCAAACCCGGUGAUAGCUGGUUCUCCGCGAAAUGCAUUUAGGUGCAGCGUCGCGUGUUUAGCCAUGGAGGUAGAGCACUGGAUGGACUAGGGGGCCUACAAGCUUACUGAACCCAGCCAAACUCCGAAUGCCAUGGCUCCACAGCGCGGCAGUGAGACCCCGGGGGAUGAGCUUCGGGGUCGAAAGGGAAACAGCCCAGACCGCCGGCUAAGGCCCCUAAUUCUGGACUAAGUGGUAAACGAGGUGGGAUCGCCCAGACAGCCAAGAGGUUGGCUUAGAAGCAGCCAUCCUUGAAAGAGUGCGUAACAGCUCACUGGUCGAGUGAUCCUGCGCGGACAAUUUAACGGGGCUCAAGUCCAGAGCCGAAGCCGCGGGUUUCUGCCAUACGGCAGGAGCGGUAGCGGAGCGUCGAUCUCAGCAGUGAAGCGGCCGUGUGAACGGACGUGGAGCGUGGUCGAGUGCGAAUGUUGGUAUAAGUAGCGAGAGAGGGGUGAGAAACCCCUCCGCCGAAAGCCCAAGGGUUCCUGGGGAAGGCUAAUCCUCCCAGGGUAAGUCGGGACCUAAGGCGAGGCCGAGAGGCGUAGUCGAUGGACAACCGGUUGAUAUUCCGGUACCACCAUGAGCGCGCCAAGGCCGAACUGGUAUUGCUAAGGGGAUGCCGGUCCUUUCGAGGGCCGGACGAACCGACCCAUACCAGGGACGCCAGCGAAGCGGGGACACAGAAGGGUAGAUCAACCCGGGCGAUGGUAGACCCGGGGUAAGCGUGUAGGGCGGGGCGUAGGUAAGUCCGCUCCCCAACAAGCCCGAGACGUGAUGCCGAACCGCCACAGGUGAAGUGAUUGAUCCCAUGCUGUCGAGAAAAUCCGCUAGUGAGUUCUCAUGGUGCCCGUACCCCAAACCGACACAGGUGGGCAGGUAGAGAAUACCAAGGCGAUUGGGUGAACUAUGGUUAAGGAACUCGGCAAAUUGCAUCCGUAACUUCGGGAGAAGGAUGACCUCUACGAGUGAAGGGCUUCGCGCCCGGAGUUCUAAGAGGUGGCACAAACCAGGGGAGAGCGACUGUUUACUAAAAACACAGCAGCGUGCGAAGUCGUAAGACCAUGUAUACGCUGUGACGCCUGCCCGGUGCCGGAAGGUUACGGGGAGGGGUUAGCCCUUUAGGGCGAAGCUCCGAACCUAAGCCCCGGUAAACGGCGGCCGUAACUAUAACGGUCCUAAGGUAGCGAAAUUCCUUGUCGGGUAAGUUCCGACCUGCACGAAUGGCGCAACGACUUUCCCACUGUCUCAACCAUAGGCCCAGCGAAAUUGAAGUACGAGUAAAGAUGCUCGUUAGCUGCAGAAGGACGAGAAGACCCCGUGGACCUUUACUGCAACCUGAUAUUGGUGUUUGGUCUACCUUGUGUAGGAUAGGUGGGAGACUGGGAAGCAUGGGCGCCAGCCCGUGUGGAGUCAAUCUUGAAAUACCACUCUUUGUAUGCUGGGCACCUAAUCCAGGUCCGUAAUCCGGACCGGAGACAGUGGCAGGUGGGUAGUUUGACUGGGGCGGUCGCCUCCUAAAAGGUAACGGAGGCGCCCAAAGGUUCCCUCAGCCUGGUUGGCAAUCAGGCGGCGAGUGUAAUGGCACAAGGGAGCUUGACUGUGAGACCUACAAGUCGAACAGGAGCGAAAGCUGGGCAUAGUGAUCCGGCGGUUGCGUGUGGAAGCGCCGUCGCUCAACGGAUAAAAGGUACCCCGGGGAUAACAGGCUAAUCUUGCCCAAGAGUCCAUAUCGACGGCAAGGUUUGGCACCUCGAUGUCGGCUCAUCGCAUCCUGGGGCGGUAGCACGUCCCAAGGGUUGGGCUGUUCGCCCAUUAAAGCGGUACGCGAGCUGGGUUUAGAACGUCGUGAGACAGUUCGGUCUCUAUCCUCUGUAGCCGUAGGAGAUUUGAGGAAAGCUGUCCCUAGUACGAGAGGACCGGGACGGACGCAGCUCUCGUGUGCCAGUUGUCCUGCCAAGGGCAUGGCUGGUUAGCGACCUGCGGAAAGGAUAACCGCUGAAAGCAUCUAAGCGGGAAGCCUGUUCCAAGAUGAGAUCUCCCACCGGGAUAACCGGGUAAGGCCCGUGGCAGACGACCACGUUGAUAGGCCGGAAGUGUAAGCACGGUAACGUGUUCAGCUGACCGGUACUAAUCGGCCGAGGGCUUGGUUUC
rnacentral:rRNA from 1 species